ACCCUCCUCUCUCCCAAGGUGUCUGCCGGGUUGCAUCGCGCUCCUUCGCCAAAAGGGGGAAAGCAACCUGAAUCCCCGGCGAACACCGAGGGGAAGGCAAGAGAGAGCACCCCCCCACACACCCCCCUUCCCCUCCACAACGUUAAAAACCCGGCCGCCGACGAAGCGGGGCGAGAGGCGAUGUCAUGCUCGGAUGGCGCAAAGGCCAUAAAUAGGGAUGCCACGCAUUUCCCAGCUUUGAAUGUCUGCAGCUCGCCCCGGCACCAGGGAGCAGAAAAGCCACCGGCCUGGCUCCGGGACCCUGGGAAAUGAGUCGGCGGACAGGGCGGGAGAUAACUGCGCGGAUCUAAGGGAAGAGAGGAGAUCAUACUGGGGAAGCAGAUGGACGUACUAAAAGGAGCCAGAGCACAGGCCGCUGCAGUUUGCAGUCAGAAAAAAAAAAGGUUUUUUUAAAAAAAAUGCUCGCUGUGGCGGACUGGAGACGUGCAACCCGGGAGAGUUUUGGGAACCACAAAGUUAAUAUUAAGUUCACCGUAGCUCAUUGUAAAUCUUACAUACCGCCCCCCCCCCACCGCCCCCCCUGCAAAUCCCUUGCCUUGUUCGCUCUCUCUUCCUUGACAUAAAAUUACCUGCUACAUGACCACUCCGAGCAAAGCCCCCCGGCCUCCCUCGCCUGCCCCCGGCACCCCUCCGCCGGGGAAGCCGCCCCCGCCGCGCGGCCCCGCUCCGGGCCCGGCCCCGGCAGCGCCUGGCACCGCCGCCGCCGGGCCAAGACACCCGCCCGCCUCCGCCAGUUCUGACCCGCCCGGGGUUUGCACCCUUGUCCGUUUCCCGUUAGCAGUAGGUCUCCUGCAUGGAGAACACCACCACAAGGAAUUCCUGUUCAGCUGAACUGCCGGUUUCUGUUCAACACUCACGGGGCUGGCGAGAUCCCUCCCUCUACCCCUCCUUUCACUCAGUCACUUGUUUAAAAAUAAACUUAGGAGCCAUCUUUAUAAUUUAGUUUACUUCCGAAUAUUUUAAAUAUUAUGAAAAAAAAAAGCCAUAAACAACGCUGUUAUUCAAAACAUUUUGAGGUAUAAAACAUAAAAAGAUUUGGGUUUUCUUUUUUCCUUUUUCUUUUUUUUUUUUUUUUUUGGUUUUGUAAAAAACACACACAGUGGUUUAUUGAGUACUUACAACGUUUACAC